rnacentral:rRNA from 1 species
AAGCCUCAGGUUAUGUGUGACUACCCCUG